GACGUAGGGCGCGAGCGUUGUCCGGAUUUAUUGGGCGUAAAGAGCUCGUAGGCGGCUUGUCGCGUCGGCCGUGAAAACCUGCAGCUCAACUGCAGGCUUGCGGUCGAUACGGGCAGACUAGAGUUCGGUAGGGGAGUCUGGAAUUCCUGGUGUAGCGGUGAAAUGCGCAGAUAUCAGGAGGAACACCGAUGGCGAAGGCGGGACUCUGGGCCGAUACUGACGCUGAGGAGCGAAAGCGUGGGGAGCAAACAGG
rnacentral:rRNA from 1 species